rnacentral:rRNA from 1 species
UACGUAGGUGGCAAGCGUUGUCCGGAUUUAUUGGGCGUAAAGCGCGCGCAGGCGGUCCUUUAAGUCUGAUGUGAAAUCUUGCGGCUCAACCGCAAGCGGUCAUUGGAAACUGGGGGACUUGAGUACAGAAGAGGAAAGUGGAAUUCCACGUGUAGCGGUGAAAUGCGUAGAGAUGUGGAGGAACACCAGUGGCGAAGGCGACUACCUGGCCUGUUCUUGACGCUGAGGCGCGAAAGCUAGGGGAGCAAACAGG